UUCUCAUUUUACAUCCCAAGAUGCCCCCUAAAAAAAAUGGUGCUCCCUUCCAAGUUGGGAUGUGUUUGGUUCUUGUUUAUUCUUGCCCUACCAAUAUUUACCAACAAUUGGCUAGCCAAUAUUUUGGCCAAGGAUUUGUUGGCCCAUGAUUUGGCAAGAUUCGUGAGAAGACAUGUAUUCCUUUUGGCAAAUUUGGUACGAACCAAACAGACCCCAAGUUCCAACGGCGCCCGGCGUCAGGUCGAGCCCGGCGCUUUGCGAGUCGAUGACGGUGUCGUGAUCUCCGGCUCUCCGCCGUCCUCUCAUGCCGCACAGCUGCAGUGCUGCUCCUCCACCCUUGUUUGUUGCCUGCAGCUUUAUCCGCAUCAGAUAUUCAGAUGACCAGAUUUAGUGGGAUAGCGGCAUUCGUGCCGCGCAGGAAAUCAGUAGCACAGAGCACCUUGGCUUGGGGGGCAGCUUGCCAGUUCGUCGUCUCCUCCGACUUCUUCCUCGCGCCGCUCCAGCCCGAGGUAAAUCAAUCCCAAGUGGCGUGCAAUCUGCCUUACGAUUGUGGAUAUUGCAGGUGCCAAGUGAAGUAGGUCAAGUGCCUCAGUAAAUUUGGCAUUGAAAGAGGGAUUGCCAAUCUCGAGAAACGAAAGAGAUAUUGCAAGGCUGUUUGUUUUGCCAUAUGAACUAGGGGUAGCUGCAUUACGAAGCAGUGAUACAUCGAUUAACUGGUAGUAUUUGGUAGGCUAUGUAUAUGCUGCACAAAAUCAUCAACCAUAGACAUCUAGCGUUUUUAUUUUGGUUCUUAGGUGCUACUUUGGUUGUUGGUACACUGGCGAAAUGUAUUAUUUUUGGAACAUUUGAGUCAACAUGUUUUAGUAGUUAUUUUUAGUUCA